rnacentral:rRNA from 2 species
UCGUAACAAGGUCUCCGUUGGUGAACCAGCGGAGGGAUCAUUACCGAGUUAUACAACUCAUCAACCCUGUGAACAUACCUAAAACGUUGCUUCGGCGGGAACAGACGGCCCCGUAACACGGGCCGCCCCCGCCAGAGGACCCCCUAACUCUGUUUCUAUUAUGUUUCUUCUGAGUAAAACAAGCAAAUAAAUUAAAACUUUCAACAACGGAUCUCUUGGCUCUGGCAUCGAUGAAGAACGCAGCGAAAUGCGAUAAGUAAUGUGAAUUGCAGAAUUCAGUGAAUCAUCGAAUCUUUGAACGCACAUUGCGCCCGCCAGUAUUCUGGCGGGCAUGCCUGUUCGAGCGUCAUUACAACCCUCAGGCCCCCGGGCCUGGCGUUGGGGAUCGGCGAGGCGCCCCCUGCGGGCACACGCCGUCCCCCAAAUACAGUGGCGGUCCCGCCGCAGCUUCCAUUGCGUAGUAGCUAACACCUCGCAACUGGAGAGCGGCGCGGCCACGCCGUAAAACACCCAACUUCUGAAUGUUGACCUCGAAUCAGGUAGGAAUACCCGCUGAACUUAAGCAUAUC